rnacentral:rRNA from 1 species
GUAAACGAUGUCGACUUGGAGGUUGUGCCCUUGAGGCGUGGCUUCCGGAGCUAACGCGUUAAGUCGACCGCCUGGGGAGUACGGCCGCAAGGUUAAAACUCAAAUGAAUUGACGGGGGCCCGCACAAGCGGUGGAGCAUGUGGUUUAAUUCGAUGCAACGCGAAGAACCUUACCUGGUCUUGACAUCCACGGAAGUUUUCAGAGAUGAGAAUGUGCCUUCGGGAACCGUGAGACAGGUGCUGCAUGGCUGUCGUCAGCUCGUGUUGUGAAAUGUUGGGUUAAGUCCCGCAACGAGCGCAACCCUUAUCCUUUGUUGCCAGCGGUCCGGCCGGGAACUCAAAGGAGACUGCCAGUGAUAAACUGGAGGAAGGUGGGGAUGACGUCAAGUCAUCAUGGCCCUUACGACCAGGGCUACACACGUGCUACAAUGGCGCAUACAAAGAGAAGCGACCUCGCGAGAGCAAGCGGACCUCAUAAAGUGCGUCGUAGUCCGGAUUGGAGUCUGCAACUCGACUCCAUGAAGUCGGAAUCGCUAGUAAUCGUGGAUCAGAAUGCCACGGUGAAUACGUUCCCGGGCCUUGUACACACC